CUGUAUUUCCUUUUUGAUGAUUUGCACACAGCUGAAUGAAAACAUCUUUGCAACUCUGAAAAUCAAACAUGCUGUCUCAAGUGCCUACCACCCUCAGACAAAUGGGCAGGAUGAGCGAACAAAUCAAAAUGUCAAACGUUUAUUGCGGAAGUAUGUAAAUGAAAGCCAUAAUGAUUGGGACAUCCAUUUACCUGCAGUUGUGUAUGGUAUUAACACUGCUAAGCAAGUGGGUAUUCAUUAUACAUUCAUUAUGGUCGAUAUAUAAUGUAAUCGAUAUAUAAUGUUUUAUUUCUGAUAACUUAAUUUGUUUUUAACCAGUCUUCAACCAGGCACACCCCGUAUUUCUUAUUCUUCCAUCGGCACCCUCAUUUGCCAGAGGUUAUGAACGCCUGUCCCAUGGGAGAAGACUUUAAAAUUGCUGACCCAGAAGAUGAUCUUGACACCCGAGUAAAUGAAAUGAAAAUUUUAAAUGAGAAGGUUAGGUCCAAAUUCAUGUAGUCUGACCACAGAAGUUUUUUUUAAUUCAAUGGCAUGUAGUAAAGUGUAAUUUUUUUUUUUCAGGUGCUUAGCAACAUUGAAAAUGCGCAGAAAAGACAACAAAAGUCUUACAGGAACCGUAAGAGAAAGCUAAUGAGCACAAUCAGUCCUGGCGAUGAGGUCUUGAUUUCUCAAGAUUUCAAUAUAAAACAGAGAAAAGACACCCUUGCUGACCGCCACAAAGGUCCUUUCACUGUGGAUAGUAUCUCUAAAAAGGGUGUGGCAUCAGUGGUGAAAGAUAAUGGGACUCGAUGUUGCAUCAAUGUCUCACGGCUAAGGCCUUUCUACAGGUUGGAAAGUAAGAGCUAAGUAGUGUUUUUUUUGUAAUGGUUGACAUGUAAGGUGUAUAUUGUAAAGUUUAUUUUAUUAAUAUUAGACUUAAUUUUUUUUAUUGUCUCUUCAGAUCAUGGAGCAGUUCCAUGUGUGUCACUUCAGGACCAUGAGUAUGGUACACCUGAUGAAGCAACAGACCAUCCUUAUGCUUUUUCUGGAGAGAAAUGGGAAAAAGACUUGGGUCCUCUCCAGGAAAAACUGUUGAAAUAUGUCCUGGACAAAAGCCUUCCAGCAGCAGAAUUGAUUGUUAAAGAUGACAAUAUCUGUCUUACACGUGAGGACUUGUGGAGUCUUGGGUUAAAUCAGUGCAUGGAGUCUACUGUAAGUAUAUUCAUGUUGCAGCAUGCUUGCUCAAAGGCACAGAAAUAGUUUUUUUUGUGUGUAAUUUAUGCCUUUAUUUUGUUUUAUUACGUCUAGAUUGGGAAUGCAUGUUUUAAGAUCAUCAGAGAAGCUGCUCAAAAACAUGUAAUUAAUUACAGAAGCUCAAACAUUGUUAUUUUGUAUACUUCUUCAUGGGUACUUGUAUACAUUUGCUAAUCUUGUUGUGUUGUAAAUAGGGGAAAGAUGUUUACAUUGCUGACAUGUAUGUGGUUCCCACAUGGAAAACGAUGAAUGUGGACCCACUCUCAAGUUUACCGGUAAAGUGAAGUUAAACACACACACAGACAGACAGUUGCACAUUAAUGCAAUGAUUUCUGUACAAUGCACAGUAGUUGAAUGGUUGCAUUUUCUUUCUCUACACCAGAACAAUCUGUGUUCCAAGAAUGCGAUUUUGUUCCCUGCAUGUAGUAUGCAACAGAAUCAACUGGAUCACUAUUUGCUAUGUGUUGAGUUACAGUUUCAAAAAAUAGAUAUUCAGAUUUUUAGAAUGAAGUUUGUUGAUUAGCUUAUCAUUUUGAAAUAUGUCCAUUGCAGGUUUUACUGGUUGUGGAGAGAGAGAUAAUUUUUCUAGAUUCUGUACUCCCUGGUGGUUUUGGAGAUGACUCGUACAAAACGAUAUUUAGGUUAAGAGAGAGGAAAAAGUUGCCCUUGUUCAGUGGCUUUUACCAAUAAUAUUUUACGCAAGAGCCAUGUUCUGUGGCUGCUGAUUUACACAAAAGCCUUGUUCUAUGGCUGAUGAUUUACAAAAAGCCUUGUUCUAUGGCUGAAAAUUAACAAAAAGCCUUGUUCUAUGGCUGCUUAUUUAUAGCUUUGUUCUUUUGUUUUAUGUUUACGCAGAAGCCUUGUUCGAUGGCUGUAGGAUUAGGUCUCAUUUUAUGAAACUAGACCAUGGAGAACAAUUGUAUGACUAUAGGUUUCAGUAAGUGUGUGUCCAUAAUUAAUUUUUUUUCCCAUUUUAUGUGCAGACAUAUUGCAGGCCAGAUUGACCCAAGACCCUGGACAGAGAAGACCGGCAGAAGUUUUGAUCACUUCCCUCAACAAACUUCUGGGAACUACUGUGGCAUCCUUAUACUCAUUUAUGCCCUCUGUAUCUGCACCAAUACCCCAUUUAUCUUCACAGAGAAUGAUGUGCCAUUAAUCCGCCAGUGGUGGUGCAUCCUCCUGAUGGAAAGAUUUCAGAUUGAAGGGUAAGGCCACUCUGCUAAAGUAUUCAUGCCUUUUCUGCAUUUUAUUUCAUUUGAUUACCUGCUGAUUAAGUUUUUUGAUUCAACAGACAUGGCCAGAGGUUUGCUUUCUGGACUGACAAGGCUAGCAGGCUAUUGCAAGGGACCCUUCAGCCACUUUUUAGGGUAUCUAGGUCAAUCACUUCAGACAUUCCACCUCAUGUGCAAACCAUGGUCAACCGCACAGCCCAAGAAAAGAAGCUGGUAGACUUUGCUGUACAAGACCAUGGAGUCCGGCAACAUUUGUUGGUAUGUUUGUCACACAUUAACAAUGUUUGUUAUUUACAA